GAUCAUGGCUCAGGACGAACGCUGGCGGCGUGCUUAACACAUGCAAGUCGAACGAAGAGCGAUGGAAGCUUGCUUCUAUCAAUCUUAGUGGCGAACGGGUGAGUAACGCGUAAUCAACCUGCCCUUCAGAGGGGGACAACAGUUGGAAACGACUGCUAAUACCGCCUACGAUCUAACCUCGGCAUCGAGGAUGGAUGAAAGGUGGCCUCUAUUUAUAAGCUAUCACUGAAGGAGGGG
rnacentral:rRNA from 1 species